UACGGGGGGGGCAAGCGUUGUUCGGAAUUACUGGGCGUAAAGGGCUCGUAGGCGGCCAACUAAGUCGGACGUGAAAUCCCCAGGCUCAACCUGGGAACUGCGUCCGAUACUGGAUGGCUUGAAUCCGGGAGAGGGAUGCAGAAUUCCAGGUGUAGCGGUGAAAUGCGUAGAUAUCUGGAGGAACACCUGUGGCGAAAGCGGCUCACUGGACCACAACUGACGCUGAUGCGCGAAAGCUAGGGGAGCAAACAGG
rnacentral:rRNA from 1 species